GAGUUUGAUCGUGGCUCAGGAUGAACGCUGGCGGCGUGCCUAAUACAUGCAAGUCGAGCGAACGGACGAGAAGCUUGCUUCUCUGAUGUUAGCGGCGGACGGGUGAGUAACACGUGGAUAACCUACCUAUAAGACUGGGAUAACUUCGGGAAACCGGAGCUAAUACCGGAUAAUAUUUUGAACCGCAUGGUUCAAAAGUAAAAGACGGUCUUGCUGUCACUUAUAGAUGGAUCCGCGCUGCAUUAGCUAGUUGGUAAGGUAACGGCUUACCAAGGCAACGAUGCAUAGCCGACCUGAGAGGGUGAUCGGCCACACUGGAACUGAGACACGGUCCAGACUCCUACGGGAGGCAGCAGUA
rnacentral:rRNA from 1 species